rnacentral:rRNA from 1 species
ACUCCGAAUGCCAAUUAAUUUAACUUGGGAGUCAGAACAUGGGUGAUAAGGUCCGUGUUCGAAAGGGAAACAGCCCAGACCACCAGCUAAGGUCCCAAAAUAUAUGUUAAGUGGAAAAGGAUGUGGCGUUGCCCAGACAACUAGGAUGUUGGCUUAGAAGCAGCCAUCAUUUAAAGAGUGCGUAAUAGCUCACUAGUCGAGUGACACUGCGCCGAAAAUGUACCGGGGCUAAACAUAUUACCGAAGCUGUGGAUUGUCCUUUGGACAAUGGUAGGAGAGCGUUCUAAGGGCGUUGAAGCAUGAUCGUAAGGACAUGUGGAGCGCUUAGAAGUGAGAAUGCCGGUGUGAGUAGCGAAAGACGGGUGAGAAUCCCGUCCACCGAUUGACUAAGGUUUCCAGAGGAAGGCUCGUCCGCUCUGGGUUAGUCGGGUCCUAAGCUGAGGCCGACAGGCGUAGGCGAUGGAUAACAGGUUGAUAUUCCUGUACCACCUAUAAUCGUUUUAAUCGAUGGGGGGACGCAGUAGGAUAGGCGAAGCGUGCGAUUGGAUUGCACGUCUAAGCAGUAAGGCUGAGUAUUAGGCAAAUCCGGUACUCGUUAAGGCUGAGCUGUGAUGGGGAGAAGACAUUGUGUCUUCGAGUCGUUGAUUUCACACUGCCGAGAAAAGCCUCUAGAUAGAAAAUAGGUGCCCGUACCGCAAACCGACACAGGUAGUCAAGAUGAGAAUUCUAAGGUGAGCGAGCGAACUCUCGUUAAGGAACUCGGCAAAAUGACCCCGUAACUUCGGGAGAAGGGGUGCUCUUUAGGGUUAACGCCCAGAAGAGCCGCAGUGAAUAGGCCCAAGCGACUGUUUAUCAAAAACACAGGUCUCUGCUAAACCGUAAGGUGAUGUAUAGGGGCUGACGCCUGCCCGGUGCUGGAAGGUUAAGAGGAGUGGUUAGCUUCUGCGAAGCUACGAAUCGAAGCCCCAGUAAACGGCGGCCGUAACUAUAACGGUCCUAAGGUAGCGAAAUUCCUUGUCGGGUAAGUUCCGACCCGCACGAAAGGCGUAACGAUUUGGGCACUGUCUCAACGAGAGACUCGGUGAAAUCAUAGUACCUGUGAAGAUGCAGGUUACCCGCGACAGGACGGAAAGACCCCGUGGAGCUUUACUGUAGCCUGAUAUUGAAAUUCGGCACAGCUUGUACAGGAUAGGUAGGAGCCUUUGAAACGUGAGCGCUAGCUUACGUGGAGGCGCUGGUGGGAUACUACCCUAGCUGUGUUGGCUUUCUAACCCGCACCACUUAUCGUGGUGGGAGACAGUGUCAGGCGGGCAGUUUGACUGGGGCGGUCGCCUCCUAAAAGGUAACGGAGGCGCUCAAAGGUUCCCUCAGAAUGGUUGGAAAUCAUUCAUAGAGUGUAAAGGCAUAAGGGAGCUUGACUGCGAGACCUACAAGUCGAGCAGGGUCGAAAGACGGACUUAGUGAUCCGGUGGUUCCGCAUGGAAGGGCCAUCGCUCAACGGAUAAAAGCUACCCCGGGGAUAACAGGCUUAUCUCCCCCAAGAGUUCACAUCGACGGGGAGGUUUGGCACCUCGAUGUCGGCUCAUCGCAUCCUGGGGCUGUAGUCGGUCCCAAGGGUUGGGCUGUUCGCCCAUUAAAGCGGUACGCGAGCUGGGUUCAGAACGUCGUGAGACAGUUCGGUCCCUAUCCGUCGUGGGCGUAGGAAAUUUGAGAGGAGCUGUCCUUAGUACGAGAGGACCGGGAUGGACAUACCUCUGGUGUACCAGUUGUCGUGCCAACGGCAUAGCUGGGUAGCUAUGUGUGGACGGGAUAAGUGCUGAAAGCAUCUAAGCAUGAAGCCCCCCUCAAGAUGAGAUUUCCCAACUUCGGUUAUAAGAUCCCUCAAAGAUGAUGAGGUUAAUAGGUUCGAGGUGGAAGCAUGGUGACAUGUGGAGCUGACGAAUACUAAUCGAUCGAAGACUUAAUCAA